CAAAAGACCCAUAGAAUAUGAAUUCCUGCAGUCACGAAAGCUUUAAGUCAAGAUGGUCAAAUAUGCCUUGUGCGGCCGCAAGGUGCGUGUGGGGUGGCCCUCAUCCAGCAGUGGAUCGCACUCACGUCGAUGCACCAAACACACUCAAUGCAACAUCUGCUGUGUCCACAUCCCGGCAGAGAGAGAAAAAAGAAACCCCAGCACACAACUGAGUCGCAGUAACGCGAGAAACACAUUCACCGAGUGCGAUGCCCCGUGCAGCUCCAAAUGUCUGCGGGGUCUAGUUACUGCGUUCUAUUAAAUGCUUGGUUUGUCGUCGUUAAUCGUCGAGAAGGGCUGACGCGGCUGCUGAAAACACCAUGCAGACAUUAUUCCUGUUUGGAAGUCGCCCACUGGCAAGGCAGGAGGAGGAGGGCUAUUUUGAGAUGAAUCACCGAAUAUGCAAAUGAUGUCUUUCUGACGUGACGUGCUCUACAUAUUAAGUGGGCACGGGCUAAGCCACCCCCAACCCCCACCCACUCCUCCUCCUCCAUUCCCAAUCGCUGUAAAUGUCCACUCGUGAUGAGACCCGCGGAUCAGAAAAAAAUUAACCCAGCCACGAACACACAGUGCGCACACGCGCGCUCACAGACACACGCACACGCGCGCACGUCAGCCAGGAGCUCCUCCUAUUUAACAAUCAAACUAAUUAGGCGCGUACGGAUUGCAUAUUGAUACACCGGCGUACAGCGCGCUUUAACGUAGCGGCAUUGCCUUUGAUGCGCUAUAUAUUUAAAAAAAACACUUAUUGCAUAGUGCACGACGUAUGCACAACUGUGCUGUAGAUCGUAAUGAAAUCAAAAGGAUCGUGCCGCGCAUUGGCGCGUGACACGUGGGGAAGCGAUGGUGGCACCAAAACAAGAACCUCAUUGAAGGCCCGACGGAGGAGCGGCGCUGGGUUUGUCUCCGCUGCCCUGACGAGAGACUUUGGGGACCGCUCUCAACCAUGGCACGACACAGACGACGACGCGGAAGGAGGUGCGGAUGUUUCCUCGACGAAUGGAACGUGUCGAGGGCUCCCCAAACCGCGAACGCGGCGAGACGCAAUGCAUCGGGCGUGCAUCGCCGAUGACAGACCACCACGACACGUUUCGUUACGGUGGAACAAGCGGACUCCACUCGGCUACCCAGGAUGCCGUAGAAUGGCCUGCAAAUUUAACAAAUGCAAUAUGAAGGGAGAUAUAUGCAAUAAAAUAACAAAUUAUUGAAAGUUCGUAUUUAAUCCACUGCUAGAUGAAUACUCCCCCCCCCCACCCACAUGCCAUUUGUUUGACCAUACUUCCCCAUAUUGGUCAACGCGGGUAUCUGAAUUCUGCACCAGUUCAGAUUUCACUUAAAGCUGAUGUUAGCCGUGGCCGGGAGUUGAACUUGAGUGUGCUAACUGCUGCAACCAUCACUCUACCUUAAUUAUAACAAAGCAUUAUGUAUGUGUCUGCCCAGGAAACAUCGAAUUGAAUUUGAAGACUCUUUACCGAGCGGUUGUCAUCUUUGCACUCCUUAGCAAAUGGCAUUUGCACCCAGCAGAAACUGAAGACGGCCUGGAGAAAGCCCAUAAGUGCGAUGGGUAUAACCCUCGAAUAUCCACACGGAUGGAUUCAAUGAACCCACUCCACUUGAUGCACUGCCCAUAAAUUCCCGGAGGUCCCGGGGCUGUGGGCUCAGAUCAUCGUGCCAGCUCGCAGGGAGAAGUAGAGAAGAGCCCCUCUUGGUCCCGUCGGAAAGGGAAGUGCUGGAAAGAUCGACGGAGACGGACGCGUCCCUCGAUGCCCCGGUUCGAGACGGCGUGGCACGGGCGCUCUGAGACCAAAAUAAAUCCCUUCUUUGCACCACCUGAGGUGGCAAAGUCCAGUAAUGAUUUAUGUAAUCCUCCAUGUGUGUGGGACAUGUUCUGAUAUGAUAACCUCUGCGGAGUGGCAGCUUAGUUGUAGUUACCAUGACUUUUAUACCAAUACCCUAUGACAGGCGUCCGGAACGAUGUAAUUGGGCAUUAUGACUAAAAAAUACCUAGACCAAAGCCAGUUAGGUCACAAACUGGUCUUUAUUGGUUUAAAUGCACAAUGAAAACACAGAGUAAUAUGGAAUACCAUAGUGAGGUAAGGAACUACUUGAAUAUUAUAAACAUUGACAUUCGCAUAUACUUAGUCGAUGAUACAUGUAAUCCCAUAUAUGUCGUUAGUGAGGGUAUAUGUGAAGAAGGUUACAUUAUUGUUAUCAAGCUCUGUGUGUACUUAGAUGGUGUUAACAAGGGUAACCAAGUACAGAAUCACCACACUGUGCAUAAAUGUAUACUACUACUACCACAGUAAUACCAUCAGUAUCACCACACUGCAUCAAUGUAUACUACUACUACCACAGUAAUACCAUCAGUAUCACCACCCUGUGUCACUCAAACUGCUCGUCUAUCUCGUCAUCUGACUCCCCGAGUUCAAAGUCAGGUUCUGGAUCAUCCUGCAAUUUUUUGUUACUGCAGCUCUGUAACCCUCACAGGUCUGUGCAUGUCAGUCUAUUUGACAGGCACGGGCAGCUUGGCAUUCUGCAUGAACGCACACAUUUGCAUGCUAGCAGUUCCAAGACCACAUCUUGUGCAGGUGGGGAGCGCAUCCAGUAAAUAGCCAGCUUGCCAUCAUCGUCUGUACAUCCAUACUCAGUAGGGCUUGGCAAGACAGGGUUAGCCUGUAGACAGCACUUCCAGAUUGCUGCCUGAAAGUUGGCUCGUUGAACAUGCGUGAAGAGAGACAGUCUCUACAUGGUGGCAGCUGGCUGGACUCGACUUCUCCCCUUUUGGUGCAGAAGAGCUGGUAGCGCAGUUCGUUCACCUCACCAGUGCUGCUAUUAGCAACAUACAGGUGAUAGGUGAACUGCUCAAUUGUCUGGAACAGCUCAUCACUCAAAUUCCAUGGCUGGCCCAGUCGACUAAAAGUCUCUUGGCAGGAAGUGUCCUUUCUCACCAUCUUCAGGGCAUUCAGCUUCCCUCGACCGGCGAAUGCACGGACAGUGUCGCAGCCUGUGAAGGCGUGUAAGCCAAUUAGGCUGUCACAGAUGCUGUCUGCAAGUGACAUUGCCAGUUUGCUGAUAUCGACAAACCGUGUGCGGUUCUGUGUCCUACACUUCUGGUAGAUGGGACAGGUGAUAUCCUUCUGGAAGCCAAGACAAAGCACCAGGCUCAUCCCAUCAAUGAUGGAAGUAGAUGGGGUUGGGGUGUCCUCUGCAGGAGACAUUAUUUUCAAACUCUCUGGCAAGUGCAGCCUUGUUUGUUUUUUGUAGGGACCCAUCAGCAUUUGCCAGUGCCCAUUGCAGUGGGCCCAGUGGGUGGGCAAGGACAUCCUUCAUAUUGACCUUCCUGCUUUCAGCCACCAGGAUCAUGUGGCUGAACAUGUUUAUAUCUGCUUUCAGAACCACAUCCUCUGCUUUCUUUCCAUGUGCUGUUUGUGUGCUGAUAUUGGAGAAUGUCUUCAGACUUUGCUUGGUCAUCUUGUGAUGGGAUUUCACAGAUGGUGGGUCCUCAGCUAACCUUGUUUGUUUGAAUACCUGGUAGGCCUCUUCUCCUAUCUCAAGAGCUCUCUAUAGAACCAUGGUGCCAGUGGAGAGACUAACCCGAUCUGUCUCAUCAGGAGACAUAGGAUUGAUCCAGUUAUUCUCCAAAAGGUCAUUGAGAGACUGGACAUCUGCUUCAUCUCAGACAGCUGAGAGACCGGACCUAUCAGGUCUCUCAGCUGUCGGAGGUACAUGCUUCUGAACUCAGCUAUUAUGGAAUAUUUGGUCACGGCUCCUGGCUUCAAGCUGAAUCCCUUUGUCCCUCCAGCUGUCUGGGUGUCUUUGUUCACCGUUUCUUCUAUAGUUUGGUCAACAGGGAUUCGGCCAAAGGGAUUGGUGGAGCCCAGUUGAACUGAGAGCCUCCUUCCAUGAAUUCCUUGUACACAUCUGGGUGUGUGAUGGGCAGCUGAGACAUCUGGGCGUAGCAGUAGGGGAGGUAGUGUGCAUAAUGCUUCCUAUCAUAAGCAAAGUACAAUGGUAUCAUUGCUCGAACGCUUGCCAAGUGUAGCAUCCAGUCUCCCUCUCUGGAUGCUCGAAUGAGCCCCAACAAGAUUUCAACCAUGUCCAAAUAGGACGUCCAGAAGGUCGAGAGGCUGCUGUUUCCACCUCUGAGGAUCUCGCGGUAGACUUCAAACAGUUCCAUGAUGUGUGUACAUGAGCUGUUCUCGAGGACCUCCUUCAAAGUGACUUGUGAGACUUCUUUCCCAAGGUUGUCAAUGGUCCUCAGUGUCUCAUCCAGGUGAAACACUUCGUUCAUGUGAGUUGCUUCCAACCAGGACAGGAAACCAUUCCAUGUGAGUCGCACGAGAGCCGCAUACAGCAGCUUGUGUAGUCGCACUGCCCUGCUGUACUUGCGGCCAUCCAUAGCACCAGCAAUGGAGCCUUCUGCGAUCAUGCAAGACUCAAUGCAGAGAUCUCGGAGUCCAGCAUCUUGGAAACGCUUUAUUAUUAUUGUAAGCAGUAUGUAGAAUUAUGUGGCUUUACCUAUUAUGAAACAUGAGUUGUCAAACUCGGCAUUCAAUAUGUCAUUUUGAGAACAUUACAAUGCCAGUUCAGGCAUUGUGAUGCUAGUAGCAAUGAUAUUUGAGAGUUAUACUCGUGUACCCCCUCUUAUUGCCAUGACAGCAAAGUAAAUAGCCAGAGAAUAAGCUUUACAAUGAUAUGCAAUUCAACUAGGUUAUUUCUUAAAAUGCGGAAACAAAUAGCGAUGAAACAUGCUAAAAAACGCAAAUAUAAGGCUUUGUUUACUUGGCGAAGUUUGCAUAAAAUCGUGAAAACGAACAAAUAAUAAAAUAUUAAGUUAGUUUUCAUGAUUUUAAUAAUCAAUUAUCACCAACAAAGUUAUUGGUAAUAAUUGUAUCCAAUUUAUAGAAGCAAAAUAUCUAAAAAUAUCAAAAUUGACAAACUGAACAAAAAUAAUACUUUUUGCCUAUAGUACCUGGCCUUAACUAAUAAUCUUAACAGGAACAUUAACAAUACACUGAGCGUAAAGUUAGCACUUUAGAUAUCUUUACCAAACAGAAAUAAUACAUACAGAACCACCAGUACUUGCCUCACCUGCCAGUAAAUGAACAUGAGCAAACAAGCUGCUAGAAA